UCCACGGGCGCUUCUUUCCGCUGAAAUGCGAGCAUUGCCCUCGCGGCCCGAGUGCCUCUGGCGUGUGCGUGCUCCUGUGUGUGCUGCGCCGCUGUCACCGCAGAUGUACCCCAGCUGUCAUCCACUGCUCCGACUCCCGCUCCUCCUCCCUCUGCCCGCGCUUCCCCUCUCCUGUCUCCCGCGCCUUCCUGCCUCUCCCUCUCAGUUUGUUAUUGACCCGGCAGCCCCGGCAGCCCCGGCCCUCGGCAGCCAGCACUGUGUGCUGCGUGCCAGGUCCUGCUCCCUGUGAGCGAGGGGACUCCAGCGGCAUCAGCGCUGCUGCAUGGCUUGGUGGCAGUGUCUCCCCGGGAGGUCGAGAGCUACCUGAUUCAAGGAGCUCAAGAGAGUCCACAGGCCUGGACAGGCGCCGCAUGGUCAAGAAUAAGAAACAAUCCCAUGUGUGAGGUUGGAUGUGACACAGACCUGCUGGCCCCUGCCCAAGUCACCUAAAUUCCUAAGCUGCUGCAGCAUGAACCCCUGAACUGAUGAGUCUUAUUAUAGACCGGCUGGCGGAAGACAGAGCA